GACGAACGCUGGCGGCGUGCCUAAUACAUGCAAGUAGAACGCACAGUUUAUACCGUAGCUUGCUACACCAUAAACUGUGAGUUGCGAACGGGUGAGUAACGCGUAGGUAACCUGCCUGGUAGCGGGGGAUAACUAUUGGAAACGAUAGCUAAUACCGCAUAAUAUUGAUUAUUGCAUGAUAAUUGAUUGAAAGAUGCUAUUGCAUCACUACCAGAUGGACCUGCGUUGUAUUAGCUAGUAGGUGAGGUAACGGCUCACCUAGGCGACGAUACAUAGCCGACCUGAGAGGGUGAUCGGCCACACUGGGACUGAGACACAGCCCAGACUCCUACGGGAGGCAGCAGUAGGGAAUCUUCGGCAAUGGACGAAAGUCUGACCGAGCAACGCUGCGUGAGUGAAGAAGGUUUUCGGAUCGUAAAGCUCUGUUGUAAGAGAAGAACGGGUGUGAGAGUGGAAAGUUCACACUGUGACGGUAUCUUACCAGAAAGGGACGGCUAACUACGUG
rnacentral:rRNA from 1 species